rnacentral:rRNA from 1 species
CUGCGAGGCAUUGAGCUAACUGAUACUAAUUGCCCGUGAGGCUUAACCAUACAACACCCAAGGGGUUU